rnacentral:lncRNA from 10 species
GUGGCUGCUGUGGUGGAUGGGGGUGUGGUUCUUAGGCCAAUGGAGUUAUGUUCCCAGGGAGAUUAUGACUACCUCUGCUGCGUCAUGCAGGUAGCCAGAAAAGUGAGGGAAAACUGGCAGUUACAGGUCUCACCCAGCUCCCGCACAGCCCAAAGGGCUGUUCUCACUCCCACCGUGGCCCUCCCUGAAACAGCACCAAGUUUGUUUCCAGACAGCGGCUGAGCAGGGCUGAGAGCUUUCCUCAGUCUACCAGCCUUCCAGCUGAUAAAGCAAGCAGGGCUUCCAGGUUUCAUGUCUCCCUGCCUGCCACAGCUUCUGUGCUUUGUCUGCACUCCCAAUUCACCCCUUCCUCUGGGUUCUGUCCAGGAAACUUCAUGCUUGGUCAAAAUUGUUACAAAGUUCAGCUGGAAGUUUCCUUCUCCCUGUGUUUUUUUCCCAAUUCCUCUGGCAGCCCUCCCCAAGGACUCCUGUGAGACAAAGUCAGAAAUGACUUCCCUGGGGACUGAGAGAGACAACAGGGCUCUUCUCGAUGCUUCUUCUACCCCUGUAUUUUGCUCAGCUCUCUGAAGUUAUCUCAGUUCCAGCUGCCUCGGCAACAUGGCCUCAUGGUUUUUGGAUUUAAUGGGAGAGCUGGUGUCAACAACUUUUUCAAUCCAGAUGCUCUGUGAUCUGUGUGCUUUGAAGGAAAGGAGAGGAAGUGCUGUGUGUUUCAACUGAAGGACUCUAUUGGUAAUUCUUUGAUAUCCAGUUCUGGAGGUCAGUAAGUCCAAUAUCAAGGUGCCAGCAUCAGGCAUUAUGGCCAGCACACUUCCUGCGAAUUUGUACCACCACCCCUUAUCUCAUCUAUGCUUCUGCUCACAGCACUGCACUGGAGCCAGGGGAUGGAUACCUGGCACUUGUAUGUCCUAUGAAGAAAGAGAGGAGGAUACAUUGCUUCCCUAUGUAUCCUUAAGGGAUAGACCAGAGGAAAAGUUAAGUAAUAGAUAAACAAUCAAUAAUACCUAAUUGGUUUCCCAAUCAAUUAGCACUUACUGUGUUGGAUUUGUUCACUUUCAGCCAUAGUUACACCUUGAAUUUCUGUAUUUCCAAAGUGGGCUCUUUUUUUUCUAAGGAAUUUCCUCAAUUUUUUCGUGUAAGUAGGCUUCUGAGGAGUCUAUUUCACUGAUUUUUGUGAUAUAUUUAAUCAUUCCAGGGCUACAAAAUUUAAGCUGAAUUUAAAUUAUUCAUAAUAUAACAAUCUCUCUUCCUCUGUCUCUCUUUCUUUCUAUAUCUUUCAUUACAUAUAUGUAAUAAAAUAUUUUCAUUAUAUAUCUGUAUAUCUUUUAUAGAAAUCUUUUCAUUAUAUAUUUCAUAUAUAUUCAUGUAUCUUUCAUACAUU